rnacentral:rRNA from 1 species
CAGAACGAACGCUGGCGGCGUGCUUAACACAUGCAAGUCGAACGCGAAAGGGACUUCGGUCCUGAGUAAAGUGGCGCACGGGUGAGUAACGCGUAGAUAACCUGUCUUCAUGUCUGGAAUAAUACGCCAAAGGGGUACUAAUACCGGAUAUUCUUGCUUUUCAUAAGUUAUGCAAGCAAAGGUGGCCUCUGCAUAUGCUACUGCAUGAAGAGGGGUCUGCGUACCAUUAGCUAGUAGGUGGGGUAAUGGCCUACCUAGGCGACGAUGGUUAGCGGGUCUGAGAGGAUGAUCCGCCACACUGGCACUGGAACACGGGCCAGACUCCUACGGGAGGCAGCAGUGAGGAAUAUUGCGCAAUGGGGGAAACCCUGACGCAGCGACGCCGCGUGAAGUGAGGAAGGCCUUCGGGUCGUAAAGCUCUGUCAAGAGGAAAGAAGUGUACAAUGGCUAAUACCUGUUGUAUUUGACGGUACCUCUAAAGGAAGCACCGGCUAACUCCGUGCCAGCCGCCGC